rnacentral:lncRNA from 1 species
GGGGACUACAUCACAGGUGACUUCAUCGAUAAAUUGACUGGUAAUAACAAAUCAAAAAGUACAUUAUCGAUUAACUUAAAGCCCCACAUCUUUAUGAAUUAUCGAUUAACUUAAAGCCCCACAUCUUUAUGAAUCCAACCUAAUAGGUAUGGCUUAGAGUGAGGGAUUGUGGACAAUCCUAACUUUUGUACCAGUUGCUCAGAAAGAGAUUUCUUAUGCCUCUUGCUUUAUAUGAAUUUUUAGAACAAACAACUCCUCUUGUUCAUCAUACUUGGUAAGUAACUCUGAAUCCAUAACUUUUGGCAUUGCCAUUAGAGACAAGUUUGGUUAUGCUCUUUGAACCUAAUUAACUACUAUAGGUUCAUUAUCACAGGCUGUUGUUGCCACUGUCUUACCCUUUGGUCUUUUAUUUGGGUGCAACUUCCAACAUUUCUCCUUUAUAUGACCAUCAAUCUUACAGUGGUCACAUUACCUUCUAGCACUUGACGUUAAAGAUGAAGACGAUAAGGCUGAAGUAGCCUUCUUAAAGUUUUUUUAUUUUGAGGAGCUUGAUCUUGAGCCUUCAAAGGAUUGCUCAUUACAACUAUUUUUCUUUUCAAUGGUCAUAGCUAUCAUAUUUAUGCUAGACACAUCGUUUGGUUUAUAAAGUGAGAUCUCAGUACUUAUACAUGGCAAUAGUCCUGAGGUAUAUUUCAUGAACGUCUUAGGUGAAUCCAUCGAAGCUCCUAAUGCCAUAACUAGAUGUGUAAACUCAGUGGUAUAUUCUUGCACUAAUUGGUCUUUCUUUUAGCGUAGGUUGUGUCAUCGCCUCCAUUGAUCUUUUUGGUAGCCCAUUGGAUAAAAUUCUUUUCGGAUAAGAUCCAAAAAAUUAUCCUAAGUAAUUUCUUCACCCUCAUGGGUUUGUCUAUAUGAAUUCCACCAUGCUAAGGGUAUGACUUGUCAUUUUUAGUCUUGCCAAUGAGAUCUUGUCUUCAGUACUAUGCUUAUAUAAGGUAAAGUAGGUCUCUAACUGAUUGAUUUAAGAAUCUAACUUUUCAGCAUCAAUUGAACUGUCAUACGAUGGAAUAUCGAUUUUUGCCUCCACCUUAAAAGGUCUUGGCAGCCUCUCUUCUUCUUCUUUUUAAGCACAUUGAUCCUUUUUCUUCUUGCUUAAACUCGGACCAGGACUUUUAACUAUCUUCGUAGAGUUUUUAUUAGAAUCAUCAUGAGAUUGAUCCUCCAUCCAAGACAUAACUUUUACCAUCUGUUCAAACAUACUAGUAAUUUGUUUGGCCAAGUCGACUACAAUAGAGUCUUAUGCCAUUAUAACAUACUCAAAACUUGUGGUUCUUCUUGAGGGUCUUUGGUGAAUGUUGAGAAUAGAAAAUGGUUCUCCGGUCUCCCACUAUCCACUUCUAGUCUUAACCAUAUAUAAGUAGGAUCAAAAUGCUCUGAUACCAAUAUGAUCUAUAUAGGAAUAAUAGAACUUGACAACUCUCAAACAGAUAUUAAUUGAAAAUAGAGAGAAGGUUUAUCUUUGAAGAAGAUAAGAUAACUUUCA